UGGGGAAUAUUGCACAAUGGGCGAAAGCCUGAUGCAGCGACGCCGCGUGCGGGAUGACGGCCUUCGGGUUGUAAACCGCUUUCGGCAGGGAAGAAGCCGUAAGGUGACGGUACCUGCAGAAGAAGCGCCGGCUAACUACGUGCCAGCAGCCGCGGUAAUACGUAGGGCGCAAGCGUUGUCCGGAAUUAUUGGGCGUAAAGAGCUCGUAGGCGGUUCGUCGCGUCUGCUGUGAAAUCCUCAGGCUCAACCUGGGGCGUGCAGUGGGUACGGGCGGACUAGAGUGCGGUAGGGGUGACUGGAAUUCCUGGUGUAGCGGUGGAAUGCGCAGAUAUCAGGAGGAACACCGAUGGCGAAGGCAGGUCACUGGGCCGCAACUGACGCUGAGGAGCGAAAGCAUGGGGAGCGAACAGG
rnacentral:rRNA from 2 species